UACGAGGGGGGCGAGCGUUGUUCGGAAUUAUUGGGCGUAAAGGGUGCGUAGGCGGUUUGGUAAGUCUUGUGUGAAAUCUCCAGGCUCAACUUGGAGUCUGCACGAGAAACUGCCGGGCUUGAGUGUGGGAGAGGUGAGUGGAAUUCCUGGUGUAGCGGUGAAAUGCGUAGAUAUCAGGAGGAACACCUGUGGCGAAAGCGGCUCACUGGACCACAACUGACGCUGAUGCACGAAAGCUAGGGAGCAAACAGG
rnacentral:rRNA from 1 species